rnacentral:miRNA from 1 species
UAGAUAAAGAUGAGAGAAAAA